CUGUGUCCGAACCCUAGCACUGACAUUGCCGACCAGCUAGCCACAAGAACUCGCCGGCAGGAAGAACCAGCACCCCCAUUUUUUUUGUCUCUGCCCUAGAUUGCCGGAAUUCAGAAGAUUAGCCGACCACAGUGCCCUAGUUGGGUGUACUGCCGCCGCUGUUUCUCUGCACAGUGCCGCCGUCGUUCGCUCUAUUACCGGCCAGCCGAACCCUAGAUCGUUGCUUGCUCACCUGGGCCUAGUUCCCUACUGCUGAAGCCUUUAACCCGUGCCCUAGCAGUGAGCCAGGUUUUCAGCUGUGUCAAUUGGAAAUUCUUCGACCUUGGAUUUAAAAGUGAUACAUCCAGAUUUUUAGG